rnacentral:rRNA from 1 species
AGCCAGCAAGUUCAUCUCGUAAAAAGGAAUUAAAGAAAAGUUUAGGUCCCAGCAUGGUGAUGCACAUUUUUAAUCCCAGCACUCAGGAGACAAAGGGAUGCAGAUCUCUGAGUUCAAGACCCAGCAGCU